CGCCUAACCCUCGUGGCUUUUGUCGCGAGGUAUGGCUGAAAUCCCAACGAAGAUACUGGACCCCGCGUUCAGCGACUCUUCGUUGGGUCAUAUUUCGAAAGGAGUAUGCGACCGCAAGGUCC
rnacentral:sRNA from 1 species